UACGUAGGGGCCAAGCGUUGUCCGGAUUUAUUGGGCGUAAAGAGCUCGUAGGCGGUUCGGCAAGUCAGCUGUGAAAUCUCCACGCUCAACGUGGAGGGGUCAGCUGAUACUGCUGUGACUCGAGUCCGGUAGGGGAGUGUGGAAUUCCCGGUGUAGCGGUGGAAUGCGCAGAGUAUCAGGAGGAACACCGAUGGCGAAGGCAGGUCUCUGGGCACUUACUGACGCUGAGACGCGGAAAGCGUGGGGAGCAAACAGG
rnacentral:rRNA from 1 species